rnacentral:rRNA from 1 species
UAGGGAAUAUUGCAAAAUGGGCGAAAGCCCGAUGCAGCAACGCCGCGUGGGCGAUGAAGGCCUUCGGGUCGUAAAGCCCUUUUUGAGGGGAUGAGGAAGGACAGUACCCUCAGAAUAAGCCUCGGCUAACUACGUGCCAGCAGCCGCGGUAAAACGUAGGAGGCGAGCGUUAUCCGGAUUUACUGGGCGUAAAGCGCGUGCAGGUGGAUUGGAGAGUUGGAUGUGAAAGCUCCCGGCUUAACUGGGAGAGGUCGUUCAAUACUUCCAGUCUUGAGUGCAGUAGAGNGAAGUGGAAUUCCGGGUGUAGUGGUGAAAUGCGUAGAUAUCCGGAGGAACACCAGUGGCGAAAGCGGCUUCCUGGACUGUAACUGACGCUCAGACGCGAAAGCUAGGGUAGCAAACG